AAGUUGUUGCGGUUAAAAAGCUCGUAGUUGGAUCUCGGCGGGCAGGGGGCGGUCCGUUAUUUGACGCGACUGCCCCAUUUGCCCGUGUUUCUUCGGCAGAACUCCCGGGGUGCUCUUCGCCGAGUGUCCCGUUGGGGGCUGCCAGGUUUACUUUGAAAAAAUUAGAGUGCUCCAAGCAGGCUCGACACGCCUGAAUAUUCGUGCAUGGAAUAAUGGAAUAGGACGUCGUUCCUAUUUUGUUGGUUUUCGGGAAUCGACGUAAUGAUUAAUAGGGACAGCCGGGGGCAUUAGUAUUCAGACGACAGAGGUGAAAUUCUUGGACCGUCUGGCGACUCACUGCUGCGAAAGCGUUUGCCAAGUAUGUUUUCAUUAAUCAAGAACGAAAGUUAGAGGUUCGAAGGCGAUCAGAUACCGCCCUAGUUCUAACCAUAAACGAUGCCAGCUAGCGAUCCGCAGACGUUUUUAUUGUAGGCUCUGCGGGAAGCUUCCGGGAAACCAAAGCGUUUGGGUUCCGGGGGAAGUAUGGUUGCAAAGCUGAAACUUAAAGAAAUUGACGGAAGGGCACCACCAGGCGUGGAACUUGCGGCUUAAUUUGACUCAACACUGGAAAUCUCACCAGGCCCGGACACCGGAAGGAUUGACAGAUUGA
rnacentral:rRNA from 1 species